rnacentral:hammerhead_ribozyme from 1 species
AUGCAGCUGACGAGUCCCAAAUUGGAUGAAACGCGCGUCCUGGAC